rnacentral:rRNA from 1 species
UACGUAGGUGGCAAGCGUUGUCCGGAUUUACUGGGCGUAAAGGAUGCGUAGGCGGACAUUUAAGUCAGAUGUGAAAUACCCGAGCUUAACUUGGGUGCUGCAUUUGAUACUGGGUGUCUAGAGUGCAGGAGAGGUAAGUGGAAUUCCUAGUGUAGCGGUGAAAUGCGUAGAGAUUAGGAAGAACACCAGUGGCGAAGGCGACUUACUGGACUGUAACUGACGCUGAGGCAUGAAAGCGUGGGGAGCAAACAGG